AAAAUGUAACUUCGUUGUACAGGUUGACAUGUUGGGUCAAAGUGUUUCAGUUCAAGACAUACACAAUUUGAUACCGCUAUGAGCAUGUUACAAUAGUUUUAAAACAACAAUUUAGACCGGGAAAACUUACACCUAGUUGCCCUAUUGUCAAUCCAAUUUCGGUUUAGAGACUUAGUUUUGCACAACACAUAAGACUGCUGAGCAAAAAACAAGAGGCCUUCUCAAUGAGCAAUCCAUUGAGGCAUGGAGUACUCGGUAGAUAUACAGAAGUACUGAAGAGCACCGUUCACAAAGCUCUUGAAGAGAAAAGCCGCUGAAGAGGCCUCAUGUGCUCUAUAGAAAUAUAGAGCUCUGUGCUUGAAUCCUAAUCAAAGAGUGAUCAAGCGAGCCGCCACAAUCUCUCUAAUAUGAGAAUCCAAAGAAGACCGCUAGGAAGGCAAGAGAGCUAUGUUACCUGAAACACAGAUCAUAUUGGUAUGAGUAAUGGGGACGGAAACGCAGUGCGCUACAUGCCUAAAUUGUGGUAUGAUAGGCCUAUGCUUCUUCCUUGAUACGAUAGAGGUAGAAGGUUGGCUUCAACUCACUAAUUGGAAGGAGUCAGAAGAUGCAUUGGACAGUGGUUUCGCUCAAGCUAGAGCAUGGAUGAGUCUGCGAUUGUUCCAUUCAGUCCUAUAAAUAAGAUAUGCGAGAUGUUUCUCACGAGAUUAGGUGGGGAGAGGCCUGUUGUCGAGACUCGAGGAUUGUUUUUGGCA